rnacentral:misc_RNA from 1 species
GCAUGCAUCUUGAAUCCUGUAAGGAUAUCUUCCGUAACAGAACCAUAUAUCCAUCCUAUUUCACUUCCCCAGUCUGUCUUGUCCUCAUAUCCACAGCUAAUGACAUGAAUGGCUUCUUUGAGAAGAGAUUCUGGGGUAGCAGACUCAGGAACACCACCAUUCUCCAUAAGUGUUGAAGCUACAAAUACAGCUGAUUGACCAAACCUUUUUUCAAGUGUCAUUUGUGACAUGAGCAGUGACUUCUCAUCGUCAAAUCCAGCGCCUUCAAUCCCCUCUUCUAUAUCUUCCAAAUUGAACACUGGCACGGUAGGGUCAAUGUGCUUGCUUGAUUUUUUCUUACUA